UACGUAGGGUGCAAGCGUUAAUCGGAAUUAUUGGGCGUAAAGGGCGCGUAGGCGGGAUGGCAAGUCGGUCGUGAAAUCCCUCGGCUCAACCGAGGAACGUCGAUCGAUACUGCUGUUCUUGAGGAUUGCAGAGGAGACUGGAAUUCCCGGUGUAGCGGUGAAAUGUGUAGAGAUCGGGAGGAACACCGGUGGCGAAGGCGGGUCUCUGGGCAAUUCCUGACGCUGAGGCGCGAAAGCGUGGGGAGCAAACGGG
rnacentral:rRNA from 1 species